GGAAUAUUGGACAAUGGGGGCAACCCUGAUCCAGCAAUGCCGCGUGUGUGAAGAAGGUCUUCGGAUUGUAAAGCACUUUCGACGGGGACGAUGAUGACGGUACCCGUAGAAGAAGCCCCGGCUAACUUCGUGCCAGCAGCCGCGGUAAUACGAAGGGGGCUAGCGUUGCUCGGAAUGACUGGGCGUAAAGGGCGUGUAGGCGGUUUACACAGUCAGAUGUGAAAUCCCCGGGCUUAACCUGGGAGCUGCAUUUGAUACGUGUAGACUAGAGUGUGAGAGAGGGUUGUGGAAUUCCCAGUGUAGAGGUGAAAUUCGUAGAUAUUGGGAAGAACACCGGUGGCGAAGGCGGCAACCUGGCUCAUGACUGACGCUGAGGCGCGAAAGCGUGGGGAGCAAACAGGAUUAGAUACCCUGGUAGUCCACGCUGUAAACGAUGUGUGCUAGAUGUUGGGUAACUUUGUUAUUCAGUGUCGCAGUUAACGCGUUAAGCACACCGCCUGGGGAGUACGGCCGCAAGGUUGAAAC
rnacentral:rRNA from 1 species